UAAAGAAGCGCAAUGUUUCAUGGCCAUGCUGGGAGUGACAAGAGCCUUUCUUGGUGUUGUGCCCUUCAAUCCUAAAGCAGUCUGUUCUAGCUCCCCAAGAAUAUGAAUAUCAAGUAUCUCUAAUGGCAGAGCUACCCUUUUUGAUGCCAGUGAGCAAGACAACAUCAUCUUCAGGAUCUGAAGAUGGUUCAACUUGGUUAGGAAAAAAAGAAACAAAACAGUAGACAUUGCUGUCAUCUGUCGCUGUCCCAGGUACAUUGCUGAGUCUUCAAUGAAAAAGUCCAAACUCAGUCCUCUGAAUUUCUUGAAGUCCUCCUCAGCCAAAGCAGAAGAGGAGAGACCCUGACCAAGGAUGAACCUGAGCCAGAGCUCUUCUCUCUGCUCCCCAAGAAAUUUCUCCUCAGCGGCUUAGCUAGAAGAAUUCCACCCUAAGCUACAAGGCAUUUGAAUCCUGAAUUCCAAGCUUGCUCACUGAUUUUAUACCAGUAUCACAGGACACAACCAAUCAGAAUAGACUUCCUAUUGUGCCUAGUUGAAAUGCCAGAGGUGUCUAGGGCUGGUUCAUAACUAGUGAACAAUUAAGAUGUGCUCUCACCUGUUAAAGUUUGUCAGGGCUAGGUGGGAAAUGAAGAGAGGACUGGCCUGGGUGCCCUCUUUAAAUGGAAGUUCUGGGAAGAAUUCUCUACUUUCCAAGCAGAGGGGCCCCAGAAACGGAGGCUCUGAGGCAGGAUAAAGAGAUUUCUGGAUCAUGAUGGAGAAGUUUAAAGGAAUAUAGCCAGAAGGGAACAGAUGAAACACAUCUCCCCCUCAUUAGAGAGGCAGGAGACUAAUGGAGGGAAAAUGUUACAUAUACCAUCAGAUGAGGUGGUUUUGUGGAUUGGUUUUGCUUAGCUGGUUUGUUGUUGUUGUUAUUAUUGUUGUUAGAAGGGAGGACUCCAUGGCAGAGCAUAUAUCAGGAAGUGACUGUGGUAUAAAAACA